UGGGGAAUAUUGGACAAUGGGCGCAAGCCUGAUCCAGCCAUGCCGCGUGAGUGAUGAAGGCCUUAGGGUUGUAAAGCUCUUUCGCCGGUGAAGAUAAUGACGGUAACCGGAGAAGAAGCCCCGGCUAACUUCGUGCCAGCAGCCGCGGUAAUACGAAGGGGGCUAGCGUUGCUCGGAAUCACUGGGCGUAAAGCGCACGUAGGCGGAUCGUUAAGUCAGGGGUGAAAUCCUGGGGCUCAACCUCAGAACUGCCCUUGAUACUGGCGAUCUCGAGUUCGAGAGAGGUUGGUGGAACUCCGAGUGUAGAGGUGAAAUUCGUAGAUAUUCGGAAGAACACCAGUGGCGAAGGCGGCCAAACUGGCUCGAUACUGACGCUGAGGUGCGAAAGCGUGGGGAGCAAAACAGGAUUAGAUACCCUGGUAGUCCACGCCGUAAAACGAUGGAUGCUAGCCGUUGGGGAGCUUGCUCUUCAGUGGCGCAGCUAACGCCUUAAGCAUCCCGCCUGGGGAGUACGGUCGCAAGAUUAAAACUCAAAUGAAUUGACGGGGUCAUAGCUGUUUCCUG
rnacentral:rRNA from 1 species